rnacentral:rRNA from 1 species
GACGAACGCUGGCGGCGUGCUUAACACAUGCAAGUCGAGCGGUAAGGCCCUUUCGGGGGUACACGAGCGGCGAACGGGUGAGUAACACGUGGGUGACCUGCCCUCAGCUCUGGGAUAAGCCUGGGAAACCGGGUCUAAUACUGGAUAUGACUCCAUGACGCAUGUUGUGGGGUGGAAAGCCUUGUGCGGCUGAGGAUGGGCCCGCGGCCUAUCAGCUUGUUGGUGGGGUGANGGCCUACCAAGGCGACGACGGGUAGCCGGCCUGAGAGGGCGACCGGCCACACUGGGACUGAGACACGGCCCAGACUCCUACGGGAGGCAGCAGUGGGGAAUCUUGCGUAAUGGGCGAAAGCCUGACGCAGCGACGCCGCGUGAGGGAUGACGGCCU